rnacentral:tRNA from 1 species
CGGAGUGUAGCUCAGUCUGGUAGAGUACUUGCUUCGGGAGCAAGGGGCCGGAGGUUCGAAUCCUCUCACUCCGACCA